UACGGGGGGGGCAAGCGUUGUUCGGAAUUACUGGGCGUAAAGGGCUCGUAGGUGGCCAACUAAGUCAGACGUGAAAUCCCCAGGCUCAACUUGGGAACUGCGUCUGAUACUGGAUGGCUUGAAUUCGGGAGAGGGAUGCAGAAUUCCAGGUGUAGCGGUGAAAUGCUUAGAUAUGACAUAGAACACCAAUUGCGAAGGCAGCUCACUACCCGAAUAUUGACUCUGAGGCACGAAAGCGUGGGGAUCAAACAGG
rnacentral:rRNA from 1 species